GAUGAACGCUGGCGGCGUGCCUAAUACAUGCGAGUCGAGCGAACAGACGAGGAGCUUGUUCCUCUGACGUUAGCGGCGGACGGGUGAGUAACACGUGGAUAACCUACCUAUAAGACUGGGAUAACUUCGGGAAACCGGAGCUAAUACCGGAUAAUAUAUUGAACCGCAUGGUUCAAUAGUGAAAGACGGUUUUGCUGUCACUUAUAGAUGGAUCCGCGCCGCAUUAGCUAGUUGGUAAGGUAACGGCUUACCAAGGCAACGAUGCGUAGCCGACCUGAGAGGGUGAUCGCCCACAUGGGAACGGAGACACGGUCAAGACUCCUACGGGAGGCAGCAGAAGGGAAUCUUCGGCAAUGGGCGAAAGCCUGACGGAGCAACGCCGCGUGAGUGAUGAAGGUCUUCGGAUCGUAAAACUCUGUUAUUAGGGAAGAACAAAUGUGUAAGUAACUGUGCACGUCGUGACGGUACCUAAUCAGAAAGCCACGGCUAACUACGUG
rnacentral:rRNA from 1 species